GUAGGUGGCAAGCGUUGUCCGGAAUUAUUGGGCGUAAAGCGCGCGCAGGCGGUUCUUUAAGUCUGAUGUGAAAGCCCACGGCUCAACCGUGGAGGGUCAUUGGAAACUGGAGAACUUGAGUACAGAAGAGGAAAGCGGAAUUCCACGUGUAGCGGUGAAACGCGUAGAGAUGUGGAGGAACACCAGUGGCGAAGGCGGCUUUCUGGUCUGUAACUGACGCUGAGGCGCGAAAGCGUGGGGAGCAAACAGGGAUUAGAUACCCUGGUAGUCCACGCCGUAAACGAUGAGUGCUAAGUGUUAGGGGGUUUCCCGCCCCUUAGUGCUGCAGCUAACGCAUUAAGCACUCCGCCUGGGGAGUACGGCCGCAAGGCUG
rnacentral:rRNA from 1 species